rnacentral:tRNA from 1 species
GCCCAGGUGGUGAAACUGGUAAACACAGGGGAUUAUCACUCCUCCGGUAUUUGUAGUACACGCUACAAGCCUUACGGGUUCGAGUCCCGUCCUGGGCACCA